rnacentral:rRNA from 1 species
UACGGAGGAUGCAAGCGUUAUCCGGAAUGAUUGGGCGUAAAGCGUCCGCAGGUGGCAAUGUAGGUCUGCUGUCAAAGCGUCUGGCUCAACCAGAUAAAGGCAGUGGAAACUACAUAGCUAGAGUAAGGUAGGGGUAGAGGGAAUUCCUGGUGUAGCGGUGAAAUGCGUAGAGAUCAGGAAGAACACCGGUGGCGAAAGCGCUCUGCUGGACCUUAACUGACACUGAGGGACGAAAGCUAGGGGAGCGAAUGGG